CUAACACACAAUUACUGUCACAGACACGUACUGGUCACAAAUUGCACAAAAUCAUAAUCAGAAAGGCACAAGUGUAUGUCACAAUAAGAAAUUUUUUUACAAAUCACAUAUUUCUUUGAUCACAAAUUACUAAUUAUAUUGAUGACGAUUUACCCAAGUAAUUAGUCACAAAUGCAUUUUGUCCCAUUCACUACUCCACCAUCAAUGGCAUCAUCACUCAAACUCCACUGUUACCGCACCACCACCACCACCUCAAAUUCACCUUCACUUCCACCUCUGCCACCACUCAAAUGUCGCUACUACCUGACCACCAUCACCAGCUCCUUCACUAAUAAUCACCAUCUCCUCGAAUUCACCAUCACCUCUACCUCCGCUGCACCAUCACAUCCAUUUCCAACCAACCACACAGACACGCACGACCAGAGAUGCAAAGAUGCACCUCUUGUUUCCACAGAGCCCACACAGUCAGAGCUUUGUUCACCUCUUCUUCGUACAGUAAAACUAUGUUGCAGCUUUAAGGCAUAUUCAACGUCGCCAGAUUCACUAAACUGCGAGGCAUUUAUGAAGGAUAUGAAUUUUUUUGGUCGUCAGACUGGAACUUUAUAGCCAUGUUCACCUCUAUGGUUUGAUUGGCUGGGGUUCAAGGCUAGAAAAAGUGAUGGCAACGACAAGUGGCAAGAGACGAUGAAGAAAAUUUCUAAGAAUGAGAGAGUGAAAAUUUAAUAGGAAGCAGGUGGGUUGAGGUCAUGGAUUGGGCGGUGGUGGGAGACGGUGAGAGGAUAGUAGUGUUGACGGGGCAACAAUGCUGGGAAUGAUAGUGAGACUGGUGAUGGAAGGCCAAAGGUUGAGAAAUGCGAGAGGUGGGCACAAAUUUUGACUUGAGAAAUGGGUAAA
rnacentral:lncRNA from 1 species